rnacentral:rRNA from 1 species
UACGUAGGGGCAAGCGUUGUCCGGAAUCAUUGGGCGUAAGCGCGUGUAGGCGGCUUGGUAAGUCCGCUCUGAAAGCCCGGGGCUCAACCCCGGGAGGCGGGUGGAUACUGUCAAGCUCGAGUCCGGAAGAGGCGAGUGGAAUUCCUGGUGUAGCGGUGAAAUGCGCAGAUAUCAGGAGGAACACCAAUGGCGAAGGCAGCUCGCUGGGACGUGACUGACGCUGAGGCGCGAAAGCGUGGGGAGCGAACAGG